CAUCUUUUUGUGUGACCACAUUUUACUGUUAUAGAUACACAUACGGAAAGCCUGUCCCUGGGCUGGUGACAAUUAAUGUGUGCAGAAAAUAUGCUCAAUACCAUUCCACCUGCCUGAAAAGACCUUCAAAACAAAUCUGUGAAGUAUUUAGUCAACAGGCAGACAAUAAAGGAUGUCUCACACAACUUAUAAAGACUCGUGCAUUUCACCUGAGAAAUAAAGGGUAUGAAAUGACCAUAGAAGUGGAAGC